UACGGGAUAAUAUAUUUGAGAGGCAUCUCUUGAAUAUCAAAGGUGAGCCAGUACAGGAUGGACCCGCGUCUGAUUAGCUAGUUGGUAAGGUAACGGCUUACCAAGGCGACGAUCAGUAGCCGACCUGCGAGGGUGAUCGGCCACAUUGGAACUGAGACACGGUCCAAACCCCUACGGGAGGCAGCAGUGGGGAAUAUUGCACAAUGGGCGAAAGCCUGAUGCAGCAACGCCGCGGGAGUGAUGAAGGCCUUCGGGUCGUAAAACGCUGUCCUCAAGGAAGAUAAUGACGGGACUUGAGGAGGAAGCCCCGGCUAACUACGUGCCAGCAGCCGCGGUAAUACGUAGGGGGCUAGCGUUAUCCG
rnacentral:rRNA from 1 species